GACGAACGCUGGCGGCGUGCUUAACACAUGCAAGUCGAACGAAGUGGCGAACGGGUGAGUAACGCGUAAUCAACCUGCCCUUCAAAGGGGGACAACAGUUGGAAACGACUGCUAAUACCCCAUACUGAAGGAGGGGAUUGCGGCUGAUUAGCUAGUUGGAGGGGGAACGGCGCACCAAGGCGAUGAUCAGUAGCCGGUCUGAGAGGAUGAACGUCCACAUUGGGACUGAGACACGGCCCCGACUCCUACGGGAGGCAGCAGUGGGGAAUCUUCAGCAAGGGACGAAAGUCUGACGGAGCAGCGCCGAGUGAGUGAUGACGGCCUUCGGGUUGUAAGGCUCUGUUGAUCGGGACGCGGUACCGGAAUAGAAAGCCACGGCUAACUACGUGCCAGCAGCCGCGGUAAUAC
rnacentral:rRNA from 1 species